rnacentral:rRNA from 1 species
AACGCGAAGAACCUUACCUACCCUUGACAUGUCAAGAAUCUAGCAGAGAUGUUGGAGUGCCUUCGGGAACUUGAACACAGGUGCUGCAUGGCUGUCGUCAGCUCGUGUCGUGAGAUGUUGGGUUAAGUCCCGUAACGAGCGCAACCCUUGUCCUUAAUUGCUAGCAGGUAAAGCUGAGAACUUUAAGGAGACUGCCGGUGAUAAGCCGGAGGAAGGUGGGGAUGACGUCAAGUCCUCAUGGCCUUUAUGGGUAGGGCUACACACGUGCUACAAUGGGCAGUACAGACAGUAGCGAAGCCGCGAGGUGAAGCCAAUCUGACAAAGCUGUUCGUAGUCCGGAUUGGAGUCUGCAACUCGACUCCAUGAAGUUGGAAUCGCUAGUAAUCGCGGAUCAGAACGCCGCGGUGAAUACGUUCUCGGGCCUUGUACACACCGCUCGCGA